rnacentral:rRNA from 1 species
AUUGAACGCUGGCGGCAGGCCUAACACAUGCAAGUCGAACGAGUGGCGGACGGGUGAGUAAUGUCUGGGAAACUGCCUGAUGGAGGGGGAUAACUUCUGGAAACGGUAGCUAAUCCCGCAUACCAUCAGAUGUGACAAGAUGGGAUUAGCGUGUUGGUGGGGUGACGGCUCACAAAGGCGACGAUCCCUAGUUGGUCUGAGAGGAUGACCAGCCACCCUGGAACGGAGACACGGUCCAGACUCCUACGGGAGGCAGCAGGGGGGAAUAUUGCACAAGGGGCGCAAGCCUGAUGCAGCCAUGCCGCGUGUAUGAAGAAGGCCUUCGGGUUGUAAAGUACUUUCAGCGGGGAGGCGUUACCCGCAGAAGAAGCACCGGCUAACUCCGUGCCAGCCGCCGCGGUAAUAC